rnacentral:lncRNA from 1 species
ACCUUUCUCAUUUAGCAGAGGAGAGUGCAUCAAGUUCCCGUCUCUUCUUCCAGCAGAAGCUGCCUGGAGAGCGGUAAUGAGCUGCCCUGGCAGCACUACAAAGGGCUCCGCAGGAGCAGGUACGCGGGGAUGAGACAACCCGAAGAGAUAAUCAUCGCCUGCUGACAAUCACUUGCCAUCAGUUAUCCGCACGCGGCUGCUGGCGAUGAAUCACGGCCCCUACCUGGUGGGAGAGGCGCCGCUGGUGCCACUGAGGCAUUUCGCCAGUAAUGUAUAACGGGGGAGGACGUCAGACGCUCCUUCCAGACAGCCUGAGAGAUUGAUAUUCAAGCCAAAGGGAAAUGCAUUAAACUAUUUAACUGCCUGGAAAUCCAGCGUGAUGAACAUCCAAAGGUAUCUUAUUACUAGCUCACUGUAGCUUGCCUUUAUUUAUUUGUUAGCAUUUUCAAUUUG